rnacentral:misc_RNA from 1 species
GAAAUGCGAUAAGUAGUGUGAAUUGCAGAAUUCCGUGAAUCAUCGAAUCUUUGAACGCACAUUGCGCCCUCUGGCAUUCCGGGGGGCAUACCUGUCCGAGCGUCAUUACGCACCCUCAAGCCCGGCUUGUGUGAUGGGCCCCGGCGUCUCGUUCGCGAGACGGGCCCGAAAGGCAGCGGCGGCGUCGACCCGAUGAGCCCGAGCGUAUGGGGACUUCUGUCACACGUUCGCGGUGCGGACCGGCGCCUGCUUGACUUUUCUGAUUAUCCAGGUUGACCUCGGAUCAGGUAGGGAUACCCGCUGAACUUAAGC